GAGGGUAUAGCUCGGUGGUGGAGCACGUGCUUAGCAUGCAUGAGGUUCUGGGUUCAACCCCCAGUACCUCCA
rnacentral:tRNA from 1 species